CGGUUAGACUAAAAGGCCUAGUUAUAUUGUUAAGGUAAAAAGGUGGUUAAAUAUUUAAUUAGCAGUGGUUUUAUAAUUUACUAUAAAAAAGUGAAAUUUGAAUAUAGAUAAAUAAAUCAAAAAUAACCAAAAUGUGUUGAACCCACUAUAGCUUUGAGGGAAACUGGGAUUUGAUACCCCACUAUUCUUAGUUGUAAAUAAAUAUUAGGUUUACCAGAGCACUAUGAAUAUUAAAAUUUAAAACUCAAAGAGCUUGGCGGUGUUUUAGACUACUUAGGGGAACCUGUCUCGUAAUCGAUAAUCCACGUUAUACCUUACCUUUUAUUGAAAUCAGUUUGUACACCGUUGUCAUCAGGUAACUUUUUAGAAAAAUUAAGUUAGCAAUAAAAUUUAUAAUAAAUUUAAAUGUCAAAUCAAGGUGCAGCUAAUGAAAAGGAGAGGAUGGGUUACAAUUAAAAUUUAUAAAAUGGAUCGAGCAAUGCAAUUUGCUCGUAAAAGAGGACUUAAAAGUAAUGCUAUAUAUAAAAAUAGUUUGAAUAAGGCUCUGAAAUGUGUACAAACCGCCC
rnacentral:rRNA from 1 species